rnacentral:rRNA from 1 species
GACGUAGGGCGCGAGCGUUGUCCGGAUUUAUUGGGCGUAAAGAGCUCGUAGGCGGUUUGUCGCGUCUGCUGUGAAAACUCGGGGCUUAACCCCGGGCCUGCAGUGGGUACGGGCAGACUAGAGUGCGGUAGGGGAGACUGGAAUUCCUGGUGUAGCGGUGAAAUGCGCAGAUAUCAGGAGGAACACCGGUGGCGAAGGCGGGUCUCUGGGCCGUAACUGACGCUGGAGGAGCGAAAGCGUGGGGAGCGAACAGG